GCUUGGACAAAAGUCCGGAAGGUGUAUUUUCCAUAUAAUCUGAAAGGGUCUCAUUGGGUUGCAAUCGAACUUGAUUUCGUAAGACAUACUGCAACCGUGUAUGACUCCUAUAUUGAUUAUACGAAACGUUCAAAGCUGGUUACGCUUCUGCACCCUAUUAGCGAUACGCUGGCACGAGUGCUGUUCGAUAUGCACUUUUAUGAUGAUUCUGAGGUUGAAGAGGUGAAGCAAAAGGGGCUGACGAUGUCGAUGUAUACGCCAUUCUCAGUGUGCAGCAUUGCAGAUGUGCCACAACAACGAGAUGGUGCGUCUUGCGGAAUCUUGACCGUCAAAUUCAUCGAGCAUCUCAGUGCUGGGAUGUCGGUAGAUAAAGUUGACCCUUUGAAGAUCAAAUAUUACCGACUCAAGCUUGCAAUUGAGGGUUUAAGGGGGGAGGCAUAUUUAUGAGGUCGGUCUCAACCAAGGGUUGAUUGCAAUAUUCCAACCAAGAUGACCAUACACUGUUAUUUGAUGUAGGUUUUU